GCUGGCGGUAUGCCUAACACAUGCAAGUCGUACGAGAGUUUUUAACUCAAGUGGCGGACGGGUGAGUAACACGUAAGAAUUUGCCUUUAGGAGGGGGAUAACAUUUGGAAACGAAUGCUAAUACCCCAUAUGCUUUUAAGUGAAAUGGUAUUUUAUAUUAGCUUUUAUGUUAAUAUGUUAAUCUAUAAUUUUAAAUAUUAUUUAUAACCGCCUAAAGAGAAGCUUGCGGCUGAUUAGCUUGUUGGUAAGGUAAUGGCUUACCAAGGCGACGAUCAGUAUCUGGUUUGAGAGGAUGAUCAGACACACUGGAACUGAGACACGGUCCAGACUCCUACGGGAGGCAGCAGUGGGGAAUUUUCCGCAAUGGGCGAAAGCCUGACGGAGCAAUACCGCGUGAGGGAUGACUGCCUAUGGGUUGUAAACCUCUUUUUUCAGGGAGGAAUAAAUGACGUUACCUGAAGAAUAAGCAUCGGCUAACUCCGUGCCAGCAGCCGCGGUAAGACGGAGGAUGCAAGUGUUAUCCGGAAUCACUGGGCGUAAAGCGUCUGUAGGUGGUUUAAUAAGUCAACUGUUAAAUCUUGAGGCUCAACCUCAAAACUGCAGUCGAAACUAUUAGACUAGAGUAUAGUAGGGGUAAAGGGAAUU
rnacentral:rRNA from 1 species